GAUGAACGCUAGCUACAGGCUUAACACAUGCAAGUCGAGGGGAAACGAUAGAGAAAGCUUGCUUUUUCUAGGCGUCGACCGGCGCACGGGUGAGUAACGCGUAUCCAACCUGCCCACCACUUGGGGAUAACCUUGCGAAAGUAAGACUAAUACCCAAUGACGUCUCUAGAAGACAUCUGAAAGAGAUUAAAGAUUUAUCGGUGAUGGAUGGGGAUGCGUCUGAUUAGCUUGUUGGCGGGGUAACGGCCCACCAAGGCGACGAUCAGUAGGGGUUCUGAGAGGAAGGUCCCCCACAUUGGAACUGAGACACGGUCCAAACUCCUACGGGAGGCAGCAGUGAGGAAUAUUGGUCAAUGGACGAGAGUCUGAACCAGCCAAGUAGCGUGCAGGAUGACGGCCCUAUGGGUUGUAAACUUCUUUUAUACGGGAAUAAAGUUUCCUACGUGUAGGAUUUUGUAUGUACCGUAUGAAUAAGCAUCGGCUAACUCCGUG
rnacentral:rRNA from 1 species